GUAGCGGCGAGUGAGCGGCAAGAGCUCAGAUUUGAAAUCGUGUUUCGGCACGAGUUGUAGAGUGUAGGCGGGAGUCUCUGUGGAGCGCGGUGUCCAAGUCCCUUGGAACAGGGUGCCUGAGAGGGUGAGAGCCCCGUAGGGUGCUGCGCGAAGCUUUUGAGGCCCUGCUGACGAGUCGAGUUGUUUGGGAAUGCAGCUCCAAGCGGGUGGUAAAUUCCAUCUAAGGCUAAAUAUUGGCGAGAGACCGAUAGCGAACAAGUACUGUGAAGGAAAGAUGAAAAGCACUUUGAAAAGAGAGUGAAACAGCACGUGAAAUUGUUGAAAGGGAAGGGUAUUGGGCUCGACAUGGGGGGUGCGCACCGCUGUCUCUUGUAGGCGGCGCUCUGGGCGCCCUCUGGGCCAGCAUCGGUUCCUGCUGCGGGAGAAGGGGCUCCGGAAAGUGGCUCUUCGGAGUGUUAUAGCCGGGGCCAGAUGCCGCGUGUGGGGACCGAGGACUGCGGCUUCUGUCUCGGAUGCUGGCAUAACGGCGCAAUACCGCCCGUCUUGA
rnacentral:rRNA from 1 species